CCCCGGCUGCAAACACACCAUCAACACUGGUCGCAAAGUCUCCAAACUGCGCUUUGAAGUUUGAUCUGUUGUCCUUCUCCAAACCCAGUUUCUCAGCGAUAGUCUGCAGGAAGACAACAUAGUUUUUUGACGGCAUUUCUCACAAAUGGUACUUUAGGCACUAUAACAAUGGUACUUAGGCACUAGAACUAGAAUAGCCUUGAGGGGUACUAACCGCUUCAGGACCCAAGAAUCCCAUAGCCAGGAGGACGAGAUCAGCCUCAAUAAUCUCUUCUGAUCCUUCGAUCUCCUUGAGUUGAAAUCUUCCAUCUACCUUCUCCCACUUCACACGCACUACCUCAAGGGCCUUCACCUUGCCAUUUUCAUCGCCAAUAAAACGCUUUGUCAAGACUUCAUAAGUUCUUGGAUCCUUCCCAAACUUGGUAGCAGCUUCUUGAUGACCAUAGUCAACACGGAAAAUUCUUGGCCACUAAAAGCAAAAGGAGAAAUAAGCAAAUAAGAACACCAAAGCUGGAAAAGAUGCACAAGCAACGAUAUAUUCCUGCACUCAGCAACCUAAGG
rnacentral:lncRNA from 1 species